rnacentral:rRNA from 1 species
AUUGAACGCUGGCGGCAUGCUUUACACAUGCAAGUCGAACGGCAGCACGGGGGCAACCCUGGUGGCGAGUGGCGAACGGGCGAGUAAUAUAUCGGAACAUGUCCGGAAGUGGGGGAUAACGUACCGAAAGGUACGCUAAUACCGCAUAUGCCCUGAGGGGGAAAGCGGGGGAUCGCAAGACCCCGCGCUUUCGGAGUGGCCGAUAUCGGAUUAGCUAGUAGGUGAGGUAAAGGCUCACCUAGGCGACGCUCCGUAGCUGGUCUGAGAGGACGACCAGCCACACUGGGACUGAGACACGGCCCAGACUCCUACGGGAGGCAGCAGUGGGGAAUUUUGGACAAUGGGCGCAAGCCUGAUCCAGCCAUGCCGCGUGAGUGAAGAAGGCCUUCGGGUUGUAAAGCUCUUUCGGACAGAAAGAAAUCGCACAGGUUAAUACCUUGUGUGGAUGACGGUACUGUAAGAAGAAGCACCGGCUAACUACGUGCCAGCAGCCGCAGUAACAC